GUCUACGGCCAUACCACCCUGAACGUACCGGAUCUUGUUAGAUCUUGGAAGCUAAGCAGGCUUGGGCCUGGUUAGUACUUGGAUGGGAGAAUGCAGAGUGAACACCCAAGUUAAAGGUA
rnacentral:rRNA from 1 species